AGAGUUUGAUCAUGGCUCAGAACGUACGCUGGCGGCACGCCUAACACAUGCAAGUCGAACGCAGUAGCAAUACUGAGUGGCAAACGGGUGAGUAUAAUGUGGGAAUCUGCCUUUUGGUUUGGAAUAACACGGGGAAACUUGUGCUAAUACCGAAUAAGCCUUUACGGGGAAAGUUUUAACGCCGAAAGAUGAGCCUGCACUUGAUUAGCUAGUUGGUAAGGUAAAAGCUUACCAAGGCAACGAUCAAUAGCUGUUCUUAGAGGAAGACCAGCCACAUUGGGACUGAGACACGGCCCAGACUCCUACGGGAGGCAGCAGUGGGGAAUCUUGCACAAUGGGGGAAACCCUGAUGCAGCGAUGCCGCGUGAGUGAAGAAGGCCUUUGGGUUGUAAAACUCUUUCGUCGGGGAAGAAAAUGACUGUACCCGAAUAAGAAGGUCCGGCUAACUUCGUGCCAGCAGCCGCGGUAAUAC
rnacentral:rRNA from 1 species